ACGGGAGGCAGCAGUGGGGAAUAUUGCACAAUGGGCGCAAGCCUGAUGCAGCGAUGCCGCGUGAGGGAAGAAGGUUUUCGGAUUGUAAACCUCUGUCAACAGGGACGAAAAUGACGGUACCUGACUAAGAAGCUCCGGCUAAAUACGUGCCAGCAGCCGCGGUAAUACGUAUGGAGCAAGCGUUAUCCGGAUUUACUGGGUGUAAAGGGAGCGUAGACGGCGUGGCAAGUCUGAUGUGAAAGCUAUGGGCUCAACCCAUAAACUGCAUUGGAAACUGUCAUGCUAGAGUGUCGGAGAGGUAAGCGGAAUUCCUAGUGUAGCGGUGAAAUGCGUAGAUAUUAGGAGGAACACCAGUGGCGAAGGCGGCUUACUGGACGAUAACUGACGUUGAGGCUCGAAAGCGUGGGGAGCAAACAGGAUUAGAUACCCUGGUA
rnacentral:rRNA from 1 species